CCGAAAUUUCUGCUUGAACACCAACCCAAAGACCGAAUCUCGGAGAAGUUUGGAGAAACCCUUCGCUGUACUUUUGUUUUAAGGUUUCUAUUAUUUUUGGCUAUGCCCUUUUGUUGGGAUUGUACUUUGGAAUUGAAGUGUAACUUUUGAGCCUGACGUAUAUUUGGGAUAUAAGUUGUAUUUUGAACGCCCUGUCUAUGGGUGGGAUAAUGGAUGAUUUUAUGCUUGAACGUUUCCGCAUUUUGUGUU